rnacentral:rRNA from 1 species
UACGAAGGGUGCAACCGUUGCUCGGAAUUAUUGGGCGUAAAGCGCACGUAGGCGGCUUAGUAAGUUGGAUGUGAAAUCCCUCGGCUUAACCAAGGAAGUGCAUCCAAAACUACUGAGCUUGAGUACUAAAGAGGAUCGCGGAAUUCCCGGUGUAGAGGUGAAAUUCGUAGAUAUCGGGAGGAACACCAGUGGCGAAGGCGGCUGCCUGGACCGGCCCUGACGCUGAGGCGCGAAAGCUAGGGGAGCAAACAGG